GUCACUUUGGCGGAGUGGUCUAACGCGGUGGAUUCAAGUCCCACUACCUCAGGGUGCCUGGGUUCGAAUCCCAGAGGUGACA